rnacentral:rRNA from 1 species
GAAAUCUGGCCCCUCAAGGUCCGAGUUGUAAUUUGUAGAGGAUGCUUUUGGUGAGGUGCCGCCCGAGUUCCCUGGAACGGGACGCCGCAGAGGGUGAGAGCCCCGUCUGGCUGGCCGCCGAACCUAUGUAAAGCUCCUUCGACGAGUCGAGUAGUUUGGGAAUGCUGCUCAAAAUGGGAGGUAUAUGUCUUCUAAAGCUAAAUAUUGGCCAGAGACCGAUAGCGCACAAGUAGAGUGAUCGAAAGAUGAAAAGCACCUUGAAAAGAGGGUUAAAUAGUACGUGAAAUUGUUGAAAGGGAAGCGCUUGUGACCAGACUUGGGCGCGGCGGAUCAUCCGGGGUUCUCCCCGGUGCACUUCGCCGUGUCCAGGCCAGCAUCAGUUCGUCGCGGGGGAAAAAGGCUUCGGGAACGUGGCUCCUCCGGGAGUGUUAUAGCCCGUUGCAUAAUACCCUGCGGUGGACUGAGGACCGCGCUUCGGCAAGGAUGCUGGCGUAAUGGUCACCAGCGACCCGUCUUGAAACACGGACCAAG